rnacentral:lncRNA from 1 species
GUCGGGUUGGAGUCGUGAUUGAGUCGUGAGUGGUCGAGUUAAGUUCGUGUACAGUCGGAUAGCAGUAGGGUAGAAGUCGUAAACGGGUCCGAUCAAGAAUUAAGUCACGCUUGAUCGUGGAAAUUUGUGAUAUCGGGAUCAUCGAGUUGAUCUGAUCGGAAUGUGAACCUAGCUUUAACGCUAGAUUCACAAUUCCGAUCACAUCAAUUC